GAUGAACGCUGGCGGCGCGCCUAACACAUGCAAGUCGAACGAUUAAAGCACCUUCGGGUGUGUAUAAAGUGGCGAACGGCUGAGUAACACGUGGGCAACCGGCCCCUUUCAUUGGGAUAGCCACGGGAAACCGUGGAUAAUACCGAAUACUUCGAGACUUCCGCAUGGAAGACUCGAGAAAGCUCCGGCGGAGAGGGAUGGGCCCGCGGCCUGUUAGCUUGUUGGUGGGGUAACGGCCUACCAAGGCAAUGAUGGGUAGCUGGGUUGAGAGACCGACCAGCCAGAUGGGGACUGAGACACGGCCCAGACUCCUACGGGAGGCAGCAGUGGGGAAUCUUGCACAAUGGGCGAAAGCCUGAUGCAGCGACGCCGCGUGCGGGAUGAAGGCCUUCGGGUUGUAAACCGCUUUCAGCAGGGACGAGGCGAAAGUGACGGUACCUGCAGAAGAAGCCCCGGCUAACUACGUG
rnacentral:rRNA from 1 species